CCAAUGGGACAACUCUCCAUCCAAAUAACAAUUCAUAAAAGUAAACCAUUAUAGGUCAAUGUACGGCCUUCAACACGGAGCCUUGGCUCACACCAAACAACAAGCUAUAAAGGGCCCCAAAAUUACGAGUGUAAAACCAUUCAAACGGGAAAACCAACGGUCUAAUCUAUAUAAAAAACGAGAAACGAGAAACACGUAUAAAUUACAUAAACAAACGACAACUACUGUACAUCAGAUACCUGACUUAGGACAGGUGCAAACAUUUGCAGCGGGAUUAAACAUUUUAAUGGUACCUAACCUUCUCCCUUUUUCUGAAACAAUAGCAUAACAUCACAACAUAGAACAAC
rnacentral:lncRNA from 1 species